rnacentral:rRNA from 1 species
CCUACGGGAGGCAGCAGUGGGGAAUUUUGGACAAUGGGGGCAACCCUGAUCCAGCCAUUCCGCGUGAGUGAAGAAGGCCUUCGGGUUGUAAAGCUCUUUUGUCGGGGACGAAACGGUUACGAUUAAUACUCGUGACAACUGACGGUACCCGAAGAAUAAGCACCGGCUAACUACGUGCCAGCAGCCGCGGUAAUACGUAGGGUGCGAGCGUUAAUCGGAAUUACUGGGCGUAAAGCGUGCGCAGGCGGUUUUGUAAGCCAGAUGUGAAAUCCCCGGGCUUAACCUGGGAAUGGCAUUUGGGACUGCAAGGCUAGAGUAUGGCAGAGGAGACUAGAAUUCCUGGUGUAGCAGUGAAAUGCGUAGAUAUCAGGAGGAAUACCGAUGGCGAAGGCAGGUCUCUGGGUCAAUACUGACGCUCAUGCACGAAAGCGUGGGGAGCAAACAGGAUUAGAUACCCUGGUAGUCCACGCCCUAAACGAUGUCAACUGGUUGUUGGGAGAUUUAUUCUCUUAGUAACGAAGCUAACGCGUGAAGUUGACCGCCUUGGGGGAGGUACGGUCGCGAGAUAAACUUAAAUAGAUAGAGNGNGAGAGUGCGAGACGACGACGAGGAGAGG